ensembl:misc_RNA Metazoa_SRP Metazoan signal recognition particle RNA
GCUGGGCACGAUGGUGCAUGACUGUAGUCCCAGCUAAUUGGGAGGCUGAGGUAGGAGGAUCGCCUGAGCCCAGGAGUUCUGGGCUGUCAUGUGCUAUGUUGAUCAGGUGUCUGCACUAAGUUUGGCAUCAAUAUGGUGACCUCCUGAGAGUGGGGGACCACCAGUUUGCCUAAGGAGGGGUGAACCGGCCCAGGUCAGAAAUGGAGCAGGUCAAAACUCCCGUGUUGAUCAGUAGUGGGAUUGCCCCUGUGAAUAGCCACUGCACCCCAGCCUGGGCAACAUAGCGAGACCCCAUCUCUU